ensembl:lncRNA
CUUCACGUGACGCUAAGAGAACAGGAGGCGUGUCGUUUGUCUAAAAAAAAACAAAAAACACCUUUCCUCAUUUCCUCCUUACGACGUUUCCUUGCGUAAAAGGCGCAAAGUGAGCGGCUUAUUAGCGGACGCGCCCGUGCACACCGCCGCCCGUGAAGUAAUACGCCGAACAACAAACUGACAUCAUCAGAAUGCGACUCUCCCACCCCGACGAGCCCGACACAUUCUAGAGGACGUCAACCAUAAGGGGGGACCGAGUGGGCCAAAGCGUCACCGCUCGCACGCCGGCGCGUGGGUCUGUUCAUGCACGUGCGCCGCGGCUGCAGCCGUCUGCCGCGCGCGUCUGUCUGUCCGCGCAGGAGCCGAGACGGACGGGCCCGGCGGCGACGACGACGACGACGACGACGACCAUGAUGAUGAUGAUGGCGGAGGAGGACUGCGUCGGCUUCCAGGCGCAAAUCGCCUCCAUCAUCGAGAUCCUGGCCAACUCCGCCGUGGCGGAGAUCUGCAAGCUGGUGGACGACGGCUACGCGGCGCUGCGCUCCCAGAUGGAGCGGGAGCGGGAGAAGAGCGCGCGCGAGAACGACGCGCUGCGCGCCAAGCUGCGGGACACCGACAUGAAGAUGCGCGGCUACGAGAGGAAGAUGAGGAGACGGGGUCGGAGAGAGGAAGCCCCCGCCGCUCGUUUCGGGCCGUCCGAAGGAGCUGACAUCCAUCAGCCGGUGGUGCCGCCUCUUCCUGCGCCUUCUCCAGACGCAACCUGCCUUCACGUGUCAAAGACAUCUGUUCUACCCCAGAACACACGACCGAAGGCAGAAGAGAAGAAACACACUUAUUGGUGACCUGGAAACCAGGGACGGGCGGUACGGCGGAAAUGAUCUUUACUCGUCAUGGAGGAGCGUCGGAGCUACUCGUCUUACGUGUGUUGAGAUUUGAGUCAUGGUUCUAACUUUAGAACAUCAACGAAUAACCCACAACAAACCCCUUGUAACAGGGUAAAACACCACGACACAACAGCGUCACUAAUAAUUGUACAUUUAUAAACAUUACCCCGCCGAAUUGCAUGCUGGGUACAGCUCACAGCAAGAAGUAACUCGCGAGGGAUACAGGCGGAACAACAACGAGAGACCAGAGCUGCACCCACACAACUUGUGCCCAACAGAGGAGCGGUGUCUGUUUCAGUUUUUUUGUUUGUUUCGCUAAAACGCUAACGAGCUAACAAGCUAACUCGCCGGCCAGUUGCGAGCAAGUUGGCCUCGCGUAGCCUGCCGGUCCUUUUCCGGGGUCAACGAAAGCAACAGCGUCACAUACCGGGAUGCCGUCCCGAUCCUCGGUAAUGGCGUGAUACGGACUUUGGGCCGUGCGGCGCAGCCCUACUGGGAACAUCAGCAUACGUCAACACCGGUUGAUCGAUUUCAUCCCUCCUGACUGCCAGACGUGGUGCACAACGCGUAUCCUCCUCCAUCUCCUGCUCAGGUUGAACAUUUCACACUAACAAAGUCCCUCGUGGCCUUUUUGUAACCUCAAUGGCGGCUUUUCACCGUGUCACAGCAGGAGGAGUCGUUGCCGCUGGUGAAGCAGGAGAAGGUGGACUGCAAUCUGGACCUGAAGGUGGAGGUCAACAUUAGGGCGGAGUGUGACCUGUCCACCGGUGAGUGUGACUCUGCCAGUGACCAUUCAAUGGUUUUAUUAAUCAAUCAAUGAUUUGAAUGUUUAACCGAUGGAAAGUGUAGGGUCGCGUCCCUGUGCUGGCCAACGCCAAAUGAAACUCAACGGGUCCGACCCAAACCCGGGACCGGGUGUGGCACAGUCCACCGGACGUCAUCUUGAGGUGUGAGGACGCUUUAAUGGCCUGACCCAGCGGAUAAACGGAAGGCCGCGUUGGACCGGAGGUCUUAAGACGACCGUGAGUGACGGUGGGAACGAGAGAAGCGGUUCCCUCAGAGAGGAGCUCGGCGGGUUGACGCACGGGUCUCGAGGCGCCGCAGAGGGAGGGGACGCCAUAAGCUGCCAUUGAUAAAAAAAAUGAAUUAAAAAAAAAGCACGGCCUGACAGUGCGCAGGACGUCUUUUACAAGUUAGGAGGGAGCAGUACUGAGCUGGGGAGGUGAUUUAAUCUGAGAGACAGUGGUUUCUAGAAGUGAGAAGGAGAUUGGCUGAAAUUGGGUCAGCACUUUGUGCUUUGAGGGGGCGGAGGGGCAAGUGGGGCAUCCAUGUCCGGAACAAUCAGUCCUCAUGUCCUCUAACUUUUGUAAACAAAGUCACUCGGAAAAAAACCCCUCCGCUCAUUCUGGCCUCUUCGCAGCGGAGGAACUAUUCACAGCAGAAUCAAUGUCAAUUAAAAUCAAAUAGGAGAAAUAAAACUUAAGCUGCUGUCUGUCUGAAAGUUGAAGAGAAGGGAGACAAAUUGCCUCUCGGCCUUUAAUAAACGUCCAGCUCUUUCUUGUCUGCUCAUUGAGUCACGGAUAACCAUCACAAUUCACUACCUGAUUUGGAAAGGAGCAGUAUGGCCACCGCAAUGCAUCAUGGGACGGCUCCUACAUGAAAGCGCUCACGGGUUGGGCAUUGCUUCAUGCAUUGGGCAGAAUUGGCAUUGAAAACAACUUUAUUUACUCUCUUAUGGUUCAUUCUACAGGGACGAUACAGUAUUAUUAUCAUCAUUUAUCAUUCAUCCAAAGCGACUUUACAUUUUCAACCCGUGGCUUUUACAUUUUGCCCGGGGAGCAAUUCCGACCCCAGUGUGCAGAGCGGAGACUGUCACGCAGUCAUGAGUCAUAUUCCUAAAGCAGCCCGAGUUGAGCAUAACAAGCCUUUGCCACCGGCGCGAUGUCUUAAUAGACACUGCGGGCGACCUUUUCAGGUCCGCUGUCUUUCUCGCGACGACCUGCUGUGGACGCGCGCUGUGUGUCGACACCCUGCAGAGGUGACUCCUGACUUCCCGAACUCAAUCGUGCAAAAGUCUUAAGGGGCUGGUGGCCAGUUCAACGUCAAAAGCAGCAAAUCGCGAUCUCGUCAUCUCUCCGACUCAAAUACGGACUUGAGACUCUGGUUAACUUAAACGCGGUUUGUAAGCCCCCUGCUGCAGAUAACACUUUUUCUGAUCAACUCACAAAACUGUAACUGCAAUCUAGACAAAUAAUUCAUUCUUAUGGGCGAUUUAAUGUGAACUGGUAAAUCUCACAUAUAUGGGCCAACAAGGUCUCCUCUAAAAUUACACCACAGGAAAUACGGACUAAAGAAAUGUCUUUUUCGAGUAGACCAUGCACACGAGUUGUUGCUAAAGCAAGACCGAGAAGUGUUUGUAAAAUGAUGGAAACGGGAGCUGCUGAGGAAGAAAGGAUAUUAAUGGAAAAGCAGAAAUGACUCCUCAUGGACAGUUUUAAUCUCUUAAAAAUGUCCUGUCAAUCUCCCCAGGUUUGACUCAGACAUCCUCAGUGAUGGCGAGAUGAAGCCCCAUGAAGCAGUGAGGCUUUGCGUCCCGACGCUUCA